rnacentral:rRNA from 1 species
GCCUGAUGCAGCGACGCCGCGUGAGGGAUGACGGCCUUCGGGUUGUAAACCUCUUUCAGCAGGGAAGAAGCGAAAGUGACGGUACCUGCAGAAGAAGCGCCGGCUAACUACGUGCCAGCAGCCGCGGUAAUACGUAGGGCGCAAGCGUUGUCCGGAAUUAUUGGGCGUAAAGAGCUCGUAGGCGGCUUGUCACGUCGGUUGUGAAAGCCCGGGGCUUAACCCCGGGUCUGCAGUCGAUACGGGCAGGCUAGAGUUCGGUAGGGGAGAUCGGAAUUCCUGGUGUAGCGGUGAAAUGCGCAGAUAUCAGGAGGAACACCGGUGGCGAAGGCGGAUCUCUGGGCCGAUACUGACGCUGAGGAGCGAAAGCGUGGGGAGCGAACAGGAUUAGAUACCCUGGUAGUCCACGCCGUAAACGGUGGGCACUAGGUGUGGGCAACAUUCCACGUUGUCCGUGCCGCAGCUAA